CCAACGGCAAUCACAGCCAGCACAGUAGAGUCUUGCAGUAUCAAUGGCAGCACAGGAGAUCUGCACAGCAUCAAUGGCAAAGCUGGAAAGCCGGGCUGUAUCAGACGCCUGUCAGGGACCCACUCGCCUGAGUCACUACCGCAUUCUGUGCUAACCAAGCGAGGCCAAAAAGUUUUCUUUGGAUGGAACAUACCAUCUCCCGAAAUCAGGAAGAGCACCUACCUCUGCA